rnacentral:rRNA from 1 species
GAUGAACGCUGGCGGCGUGCCUAAUACAUGCAAGUCGAGCGAACAGACGAGGAGCUUGCUCCUCUGACGUUAGCGGCGGACGGGUGAGUAACACGUGGAUCACCUACCUAUAAGACUGGGAUAACUUCGGGAAACGGGAGAUUAUAGCGGAUAAUAUAUUGAAGCGCAUGGUUCAAUAGUGAAAGUCGGUUUUGCUGUCACUUAUAGAUGGAUCUGCGCCGCAUUAGCUAGUUGGUAAGUUAACGGCUUACCAAGGCGAAGAUGCGUAGCCGACUUGAGAGGGUGAUCGGCCACACUGGAACGGAGACACGGACCAGACUCCUACGGGAGGCAGCAGUAGGGAAUCUUCCGCAAUGGGCGAAAGCCUGACGAAGCAACGCCACGUGAGUGAUAAAGAUCUUCGGAUCGUAAAACUCUCUUAUUAGGGAAAAACAAAUUUGUAAGUAACUAUGCACGGCUUGACGGUACCUAAUCAGAAAGCCACGGCUAACUACGUG